UAUUAGAUGAGCCUAUAUUAGAUUAGCUAGUUGGUGGAGUAAUAGCCUACCAAGGCAAUGAUCUAUAGCUGAUCUGAGAGGAUGAUCAGCCACACUGGAACUGAGAUACGGUCCAGACUCCUACGGGAGGCAGCAGUGGGGAAUAUUGGACAAUGGGCGAAAGCCUGAUCCAGCCAUGCCGCAUGAGUGAAGAAGGCCUUUGGGUUGUAAAGCUCUUUUAGUGAGGAAGAUAAUGACGGUACUCACAGAAGAAGUCCUGGCUAACUCCGUGCCAGCAGCCGCGGUAAUACGGAGAGGGCUAGCGUUAUUCGGAAUUAUUGGGCGUAAAGGGCGCGUAGGCUGAUUAAUAAGUUAAAAGUGAAAUCCCGAGGCUUAACCUUGGAAUUGCUUUUAAAACUAUUAAUCUAGAGAUUGAAAGAGGAUAGAGGAAUUCCUGAUGUAGAGGUAAAAUUCGUAAAUAUUAGGAGGAACACCAGUGGCGAAGGCGUCUAUCUGGUUCAAAUCUGACGCUGAAGCGCGAAGGCGUGGGGAGCAAACAGGAUUAGAUACCCUGGUAGUCCACGCUGUAAACGAUGAAUGUUAAAUAUGGGAAGUUUACAUUUUUUUCCCCC
rnacentral:rRNA from 1 species